rnacentral:tRNA from 1 species
GCCAAGGUGGCUGAGUGGACAAAGGCACUUGUCUGUAGAACAAGCGUUGAAAGACUUCCCAGGUUCGAAUCCUGGCCUUGGCA